AACGAACGCUGGCGGCAGGCCUAACACAUGCAAGUCGAGCGGUCCGCAAGGGCAGCGGCAGACGGGUGAGUAACGCGUGGGACUUUACCCCGAGGUACGGAACAACUCGGCGAAAGCUGAGCUAAUACCGUAUGUGACCGAGAGGUGAAAGAUUUAUCGCCUCGGGAUGAGCCCGCGUAGGAUUAGCUAGUUGGUGGGGUAACGGCCCACCAAGGCGACGAUCCUUAGCUGGUCUGAGAGGAUGAUCAGCCACACUGGGACUGAGACACGGCCCAGACUCCUACGGGAGGCAGCAGUGGGGAAUAUUGGACAAUGGGGGCAACCCUGAUCCAGCCAUGCCGCGUGAGUGAUGAAGGCCUUAGGGUUGUAAAGCUCUUUCGCCCGCGAAGAUAAUGACGGUAGCGGGAGAAGAAGCCCCGGCUAACUUCGUGCCAGCAGCCGCGGUAAGAC
rnacentral:rRNA from 1 species